UACGUAGGGGGCAAGCGUCGUUCGGAAUUACUGGGCGUGAAGGGCGCGUAGGCGGCCCGCUAAGUCGAACGUGAAAUCCCCGAGCUCAACUCGGGAACUGCGUCCGAUACUGGCGGGCUUGAAUCCGGGAGAGGGAUGCGGAAUUCCAGGUGUAGCGGUGAAAUGCGUAGAUAUCUGGAGGAACACCGGUGGCGAAGGCGGCAUCCUGGACCGGCAUUGACGCUGAGGCGCGAAAGCUAGGGGAGCAAACGGG
rnacentral:rRNA from 1 species